rnacentral:rRNA from 1 species
AGUUGUUGCGGUUAAAAAGCUCGUAGUUGGAUUUCUGUUGAGGACGGCCGGUCCGCACUAUGUGCGUGUAUCUGGUUCGGCCUUGGCAUCCUCUUGAGGAANGUUCCUGCGCUUGAUUGCGUGGGGCGGUAUUCAAGACUUUUACUUUGAGGAAAUUAGAGUGUUCACGGCAGGCAAGCGCCUUGAAUACAUUAGCAUGGAAUAAUAAUAUAGGAUCUUGGUUCUAUUUGUUGGUUUCUAGGGCUAAGGUAAUGAUUAAUAGGGAUAAUUGGGGGCAUUUGUAUUAACGCGUCAGAGGUGGAAUUCUUGGAUUGCGUUACGACAAACUACUGCGAAAGCAUUUGCCAAGGAUGUUUUCAUUGAUCAAGAACGAAAGUAUGGGGAUCGAAGAUGAUUAGAUACCGUCGUAGUCUAUACCAUAAACUAUGCCGACUAGGGAUUGGAGGUCGUUCUUUUUAUGACUCCUUCAGCACCUUAUGAGAAAUCAAAGUCUUUGGGUUCCGGGGGGAGUAUAGUCGCAAGGCUGAAACUUAAAGGAAUUGACGGAAGGGCACCACCAGGAGUGGAGCCUGCGGCUUAAUUUGACUCAACACGGGGAAACUCACCAGGUCCAGACAUAGUAAGGAUUGACAGAUUGAUAGCUCUUUCUUGGAUUCUAUGGGUGGUGGUGCAUGGCCGUUCUUAGUUGGUGGAGUGAUUUGUCUGGUUUAUUUCGAUAACGAACGAG